rnacentral:rRNA from 1 species
GUGAGGAAUAUUGGACAAUGGGCGCAAGCCUGAUCCAGCCAUGCCGCGUGCAGGAAGACGCAUCUAUGGUGUGUAAACUGCUUUUGUACGGGAAGAAACACUCCCUCGUGAGGGAGCUUGACGGUACCGUAAGAAUAAGGAUCGGCUAACUACGUGCCAGCAGCCGCGGUAAUACGGAGGAUCCAAGCGUUAUCCGGAAUCAUUGGGUUUAAAGGGUCCGUAGGCGGUUUAAUAAGUCAGUGAUGAAAGCCCAUCGCUCAACGAUGGAACGGCCAUUGAUACUGUUAGACUUGAAUUACAAGGAAGUAACUAGAAUAUGUAGUGUAGCGGUGAAAUGCUUAGAUAUUACAUGGAAUACCAAUUGCGAAGGCAGGUUACUACUUGUGGAUUGACGCUGAUGGACGAAAGCGUGGGGAGCGAACAGGAUUAGAAACCCCGGUAGUCC